CUGUCUUUGACAAAAGUGCAUUAGAUGUGUUUUCUUGUCUGGCAUUCUUUUGUUAUUAUAAUUUUUGAUACAUUGUGCUCCUUUUCUUUUUGCCCUUCUUAUCCUUCACACUAUAGGUCACAUAGUAUGGUAAUACUGUGUGAAUAACCUGUACUGCCAAUGACCAAGGACAUACUUCUUGCACAAUCGGCCAAGUAAUCUUCAUGGUCUCCAUCUGAGACUGAUCUACCUACCUUCGAAUCCAUCGACGGUACAGCGACAUCUUACGCACCGCCCUCGCCCUGAUGAAGAGGCGAUACUUUAUUU